rnacentral:lncRNA from 1 species
AUCAUGAUCAAUACUUUUCUCUGCAUUCCAUUUUGCCAUAAGAAUCCUGGCAGCUGAGAGCCGGGUUCCGGUUCUGGCUGUGUACUUGCUCCAUCGAAAAAAACACAGUGAAUGCCGCUGCUGAGUGUCAUCCCUGGAAAGAGGGAUCAUCAGUAUGAGAAGCGUCGCACUGAACCUCAGUGAGUGACAAGUUCAAUUCGUUGGGUGCAGUCGGCUGUGAGCUACAGGUGAGAGGUGUGUGCUGUAAACCAUGGAUUACAAACAACGCAUCAAUAUGAAAUUUUGUUUCAAACUGCAAAAAAGUACUAAAGAAACACACGAACCGUUAAAAGCAGUUUAUGGUGACGCUGCGGUGACCAGGAACUGUUGACAAGUGGUUUGAGAGGUUCCACAGUGGCUGUGAGUCGGUUGAAGACGAGAGAUCCGGACGACCUUCAUCAUCAAAAAUCCAAGAGAACGUUGAAAGACUAAAUGUUUGUUUUGGGAGAGUGGCUGCAAAGACUCAAAUCCUCAGCUGCACUUGUCAUCUUGCUGUCAGAGAUGCUGCAAUAUCCCUGAUCGUUGAGUUCUCUAUUGUGACCAUUGGCACAGGGAGUUCUGUUUCUGUAUGCCAGCAGAAGACUCAUCCACCCAGUCACAUAGGCCUAAGACUGACUCAUAAUUUAAUCAGUAACCAAUUUGUAAGCCAAUUCAAUAACACUUUAUAGCCCGCCUAGCAGUUUCAAGAUGGUCUCCUGCACUGGACAAAUUAGCAAGACUCUGUCUUAAAAUAAAACAUAGCUGGGCAUGGUAGCGC